UAAGAUCGGGUUGCGGAUUA
rnacentral:siRNA from 1 species